GGCCUCGUGGCGAAAUGGCAGACGCAGGAGAUUUAAAAUCUUCAGCCCGAAAGGGCGUCCCGGUUCGAGUCCGGGCGGGGCUA
rnacentral:tRNA from 1 species